rnacentral:tRNA from 1 species
GGAGAGGUGCCGGAGCGGCUGAUCGGGUGCCAGGCCGGUGACGGUCGAGCAGGACCUCCGGGUCCGCACAGGUUCGAAUCCUGCCCUCUCCG